rnacentral:rRNA from 1 species
GAAACGACUGCUAAGACUGGAUAGGAAAAGUAAAGGCAUCUUUACUUUUUUAAAAGACCUUCUUUGAAGGUAUGCUUAAGGAGGGGUUUGCGACACAUUAGUUAGUUGGCAGGGUAAAGGCCUACCAAGACUAUGAUGUGUAGCUGGACUGAGAGGUUGAACAGCCACAUUGGGACUGAGACACGGCCCAAACUCCUACGGGAGGCAGCAGUAGGGAAUUUUCGGCAAUGGAGGAAACUCUGACCGAGCAACGCCGCGUGAACGAUGAAGUACCUCGGUAUGUAAAGUUCUUUUAUUAAGGAAGAAAAAAGAGUGGAAAAACUCCCUUGACGGUACUUAAUGAAUAAGCCCCGGCUAAUUAUGUGCCAGCAGCCGCGGUAAUACAUAAGGGGCGAGCGUUAUCCGGAAUUAUUGGGCGUAAAGGGUGCGUAGGCGGUUUAAUAAGUCUAUAGUUUAAUUUCAGUGCUUAACGCUGUUGUGCUAUAGAAACUGUUUUACUAGAGUGAGUUAGAGGCAAGCGGAAUUCCAUGUGUAGCGGUAAAAUGCGUAAAUAUAUGGAGGAACACCAGAGGCGUAGGCGGCUUGCUGGGACUUUACUGACGCUGAGGCACGAAAGCGUGGGGAGCAAACAGGAUUAGAUACCCUGGUAGUCCACGCCGUAAACGAUGAGUACUAAGUGUCGGGUAAAACCGGUACUGAAGUUAACACAUUAAGUACUCCGCCUGAGUAGUACGUACGCAAGUAUGAAACUUAAAGGAAUUGACGGGACUCCGCACAAGCGGUGGAUCAUGUUGUUUAAUUCGAAGAUACACGAAAAACCUUACCAGGUCUUGACAUUUUCUUGCGAAGUUAUAGAAAUAUAAUGGAGGUUAUCAGGAAAACAGGUGGUGCAUGGUUGUCGUCAGCUCGUGUCGUGAGGUGUUAGGUUAAGUCCUAAAACGAGCGCAACCCUUGUCGUUAAUUGCCAGCAUGUAAUGAUGGGGACUUUAACGAGACUGCCAAUGAAAAAUUGGAGGAAGGUGGGGAUUACGUCAAAUCAUCAUGCCCCUUAUGAUCUGGGCUACAAACGUGAUACAAUGGUUGAUACAAAGAGUAGCUGAAACGCGAGUUCUUAGCCAAUCUCACAAAAUCAAUCUAAGUUCGGAUUGAAGUCUGCAACUCGACUUCAUGAAGUUGGAAUCGCUAGUAAUCGCGAAUCAGCAUGUCGCGGUGAAUACGUUCUCGGGGUUUGUACACACCGCCCGUCA